AAAAUUUUGAGUUUGGUGCUAGCUCAGCUUUCAUGCGCCACGCAAGGUUUAAUACAUGCGAGCUUAAAAGAUCAAGCGUACGAGUGAGUAACACGCGAGUUUUUUUAUUAAUAUAAA
rnacentral:rRNA from 1 species